GUAGUCUCGCACAGAUGCAUAUCAAUAAGCGGAGGAAAAGAAACUAACAAGGAUUCCCCUAGUAACGGCGAGUGAAGCGGGAAGAGCUCAAAUUUGAAAUCUUAAAGGGUUUCCCUUUACGAAUUGUAGUUUAAUAGAAGUGUUUUCUGUUAGAGAGUUGGUAAAAGUUCUUUGGAAUAGGACAUCAUAGAGGGUGAGAAUCCCGUAUUUGAUCCUUUACUACUAACUUUGUGAUACACUUUCAACGAGUCGGAUUGUUUGGGAAUGCAGGUCCAAAAUGGGUGGUAAAUUUCAUCUAAAGCUAAAUAUUGGCGAGAGACCGAUAGCGAACAAGUACCGUGAGGGAAAGAUGAAAAGAACUUUGAAAAGAGAGUUAAACAGUACGUGAAAUUGUCAAAAGGGAAGCGUUUGACACCAGUGUUGUUUUUCUGAAAAUCAAUUAAAGAACUGUUUAUGCUAAGUUGUUUAGACUUUAUCAGCUAACUGCUUAGUUUUGAGCUUUUCUUUAAUGCACUUUUCAGUUAACAAGUCAACAUCAAUUUCUUUUGCUGUAAAAAAGCUUGAGGAAGGUGGCUUGAGAUUCGUCUUAAGUGUUUAUAGCCUCUUGCCUAUGCAGUCGGAGAGAUUGAGGUCUGCAGCGUAGAUCCUUCGGGGCUAAAUGCAUUUGUGCUAAGUUAUAGCAUUUUAUAGACAACUUGUUGACUAUGAUUUGUCUUGUAGCUUACUCGCUUAUGUUAUUUUACCUACGCUUAGGAUGUUGACGCGCGUGUGUGCGUG
rnacentral:rRNA from 1 species